rnacentral:rRNA from 1 species
GAUGAACGCUGGCGGCGUGCCUAACACAUGCAAGUCGAGCGAUUUACUUCGGUAAAGAGCGGCGGACGGGUGAGUAACGCGUGGGUAACCUGCCAUGUACACACGGAUAACAUACCGAAAGGUAUGCUAAUACGAGAUAAUAUGCUUUUAUCGCAUGGUAGAAGUAUCAAAGCUCCGGCGGUACAGGAUGGACCCGCGUCUGAUUAGCUAGUUGGUAAGGUAACGGCUUACCAAGGCGACGAUCAGUAGCCGACCUGAGAGGGUGAUCGGCCACAUUGGAACUGAGACACGGUCCAAACUCCUACGGGAGGCAGCAGUGGGGAAUAUUGCACAAUGGGCGAAAGCCUGAUGCAGCAACGCCGCGUGAGCGAUGAAGGCCUUCGGGUCGUAAAGCUCUGUCCUCAAGGAAGAUAAUGACGGUACUUGAGGAGGAAGC